UGAAUGAUUAUAAUUCUUCACCCCGAGCGAUGAAUAGUCUGUAUAUCAAACUCAAAUUGAAUUCCAAAUCAAUACAAUAUUUGCCAAAUUCAUGUAUAGCAACAUAUUUAACGAGAAACAGUAUUUACCGAACCGAGUUGACGGAAUGCACAACGCUGCAUGUGGAUGCGAUAAUUCGUGAAAAGCACAAGGAGCACACAUACGUGGAGAGGGGAGCAGAGAAAUACGUAUAAAGUAGAGGUAAUAUUUCCCUAAAAAAAGUAGAGGCAAUAUAUGUAGCAGUAAUUAUACACUCGUCUCGAACGUCUUGAUCACAUUUGCCUGCAUGGUUGAAACCGAACCUUCAGAGAUCUGUACCACAUUCCGUUCCUUUAAGUUUACUUCUGUUCAAAGCAGGGCAUGAUGAGAUUUCCAUCAUUCUUGCGCUGUUCCAUCCCAAAAUCAGGAAAAUAAACUCUAGUUAAAUUAAAUUUGGUGAUAAAUCAGUUUGUUUGGGUGCUCAUACGAGAAUACGAGAUGACUGAAAGUUGAUACGUACCAGCUACGGUGGUGCAAUGGACGUGCUGCUGCUCCCUCCUCCUGAAGCUCACCAUGAGGCCGUUCUUCAUGUACAGCGUGGUGUUGAGCUUGGGCUUCACCACCUGCCCGGGCGCCACCUCCACCGCGAACGUCUCCAGCACCGCCGCCGCCAGAGUCUUCAUCUGCGUGUACGCGAACCGCUUGCCGACGCACAGCCUCGGCCCGCCGUUGAACACCACGUACUUGAACGGGCUCUCGGCGCCGCCAGCAAAAUCCCUGCCCUUCAUCCACCGCUCCGGGCGGAACUCCAGGCAAUCCUCUCCCCACGCCGCCGGGUCCCGUCCGAUCGCGUACGUGUUGUAGAUCACCCGCUGGCGCGCGCGGAUCGCCGUGCCGUCCGGGAGCACGUCGUCCUGGAGCGCCUCCUUGAAGUCCACGGGCACCGGCGGGUAGAGGCGCAUCGACUCCGUCAGCGCCGCGUGGAGGUAGUCCAUCUUCCCGACGUCGCCGUGGGCGGCCCGCACAUCGUCAAGGACGCGUGACUCGGCCUCGGGGUGGGACGCGAGGAGCCAGAAGAACCAGACGAGCGCGACGGAGCUCGUGUCGCGCCCGGCGAGGAUGAAGCUGAUGCAGAAGUCGCGGAGGAACUCGUCGGAGUGGCCCGUCGAGGAGGACAUGAGGCGGG
rnacentral:lncRNA from 1 species